GAUCAUGGCUCAGGGAUGAACGCUAGCUACAGGCUUAACACAUGCAAGUCGAGGGGCAGCAUGAACUUAGCUUGCUAAGUUGAUGGCGACCGGCGCACGGGUGAGUAACACGUAUCCAACCUUCCGUUUACUCAGGGAUAGCCUUUCGAAAGAAAGAUUAAUACCUGAUAGUAUGGUGAGAUUGCAUGAUAACACCAUUAAAGAUUUAUUGGUAAACGAUGGGGAUGCGUUCCAUUAGGUAGUAGGCGGGGUAACGGCCCACCUAGCCUGCGAUGGAUAGGGGUUCUGAGAGGAAGGUCCCCCACAUUGGAACUGAGACACGGUCCAAACUCCUACGGGAGGCAGCAGUGAGGAAUAUUGGUCAAUGGACGAGAGUCUGAACCAGCCAAGUAGCGUGAAGGAUGAAGGUCCUACGGAUUGUAAACUUCUUUUAUAAGGGAAUAAAACCUCCCACGUGUGGGAGCUUGUAUGUACCUUAUGAAUAAGCAUCGGCUAACUCCGUG
rnacentral:rRNA from 1 species